ACGGCAAACCUGUAGUAACGGAUUAUGUGGUGUGAUCUGAAGGUGGCGUGCUGGACUGUGAUUUCGGCUGUCGCUGGAAGAUGGCAUCAGUCUGAACGACGUAUGUCGUAUGGUGUGGUCGUUGGCAUAUGUGACCACAGUGAAACUGCUGGUUCUGGUCUUUUCAAACGCGCAAGGGCAACUACGGUGUUGCUACGUGCUGUGCUGAUGGGUUCGUGUGGUGUCGGCGGCAAGUUCGCCUCGUUGUGUAUGACUUCGACACGUAAAUUGGGGUGGACGCGGACACGCCCAGCAACAAUGCUCGUGGAAACGCCCCUUUGGCUACUGUGUCACGUCUGUGAUAGUAAAAGAAAUGGACUGACGGAUUCCAGGACAAAGUUAUCGACGCAGUACGUGCACAGAAUACAAGAUUUCAAGCGAGCCUACAGCAACGUGCCGUUGAACUCUACAAGCGUCUCACGCCAUGGAUAUUUGAUGCGCAACAGAGCAGACACGGAGCAGAAGGCAAGGGAAUCGUCUGCUGCGAUGGAGCAGACAGAGACGCACUCCUACUAGACGUUGCUUCACACGAGCGUACGGCAACAGGCGCUAGGGCUGGUGCUCCGACUACUAAGCUUGGAAGUAUUCUUUUUCCCAUUCCGGAGUCUGUAAGCGAUUGAAAGUUGCCAAGAGGGCGAAAUAGAGCACGCCCUACUGUUAAUAAAUCAAGGCCGGCAACAUUCUGGCGGAUCGAUUCCGUCGCCAUGACACCGCGCUGUAGCGGUGUUCGAGGGAAGUUGGCAGAACUGCGAAUCCGAAUACGUACCCCGCACUCAUCCCUGUUUACGACUUGUGCCCGUUGACGUACUGACGCUUUGUCGCGCUCGUCAGCCGCCGCCUUUUAUCGCGUUAGCUCUCUUAAAGAUGUACUGACGCGCAUUUCCCUAUUUGUUAGAAAGUCUUCCAUACGCUUCUCUGAGGUACAAAGACGACACUUAGCGAGUAGACUCCUGGUGUUUACAUAAUCUGCGCCUUCAUUUGAAGCAACACAAUGAUAAUUCAAAGGACAUGAUCUCUGUACUCCUUUGCUGCUGUGCGUUGUCGCGGUCGCUCCUGUAGUAAAACUUACGCGACUAAAUGCUGCCUUUCCUUUGUUUCUUGUUCUCUCGGGUGUGCCAAGAAAUUUCUUGGAAAGAAGAAAGCG